AUCUGGCUGGCUCAGUUGUAGAGCACAUGACUCCUGAUCUCAAGAUUGUGGGUUCGAGCCCCACAAUGGAUG
rnacentral:tRNA from 1 species